ACGUGAAUGAAGGUUCAGAAUCUUCACCUCCCUUCUUACGAGCGGCGACGGCGGCGGUGCGAAUGGCUUCCUCUUCUCCGAUCCUCACUCCUCACGACAGCGGCGCCCUCAAUAAAUUCCCUUCUCCGGUCUAGUUUUCUCAAAAUCUCUCCGAUUCACUUCUCUCGCGGCUCAAUAUUUCGCUCUCGAGUCUCUGUUUUUCGUUUCGGAUUGCGUGGAUUGUGAUGUUAUCCUGUUGAUGAUGAAGAUUGAAAUUGCGGUUUGGCGGAGGUGAUUGAGACGCGUGAAGUGUUGAAGACGAACGAUGAUGAACGGAGUUGAUGUGGUUGUUGUUAUGAAGCGUGAAGAGAGGAAUGGCGACUCAAUCGUGAGACGAUGAUGAAUGUAGCGCUAUUGCGAAAUUCUCGAAGAUGCGGAAUCGCAAAAUCAUGUGAUUAUAGAGUGCUGCGAUUUGAUGACAUCCACGAUGAGAAAUUCAAGGACGAAUGAUGCGCGAUGAACCUUUCCACAAAUCAAUGAACACUGAGACUCGAUGAUUGAAGACUUUUCUGUGGAUAGAGAUGCAGAAUCGUGAUGAGUUUCUCGUGUAACUGUUUCUGUUAGGAUCUUUUCUUGGUUUUCAAGGAUGAAGAAUGGAGAGAGGGAAGAUCGAUGAUGAUUAUGAAGAGAUGGUGAAGUGAUGGAGGUUGAAUGAUGGUGGUGGUUAUGGAGCAUGAAGGAUUUCUGAGAUGGAGAAAAUGAAGAAUGAGUAUGGAGAUUAUGGUGUGUGAAGAAAUGGCCUCCCUGAAAAUGAGGCUAAUGCAGAAUAUAUAGGUUAUCUCGGCGUUGGCUUGCUCACUUUGGCUUGUGUAUGGCUUGUUUGGAAUACCUUUUGAUCACUCUGCUGUAAAACUCAGACUCAGCAGCAACCAUAUUUGAAUCAACAAUAUACUCUAUUUUGGGAGAUUUAUUCAAUUUGUUCACAACUCUGUUUGUAAUGGCUUCCUUUUUUCUCUUAGCGUAGUGACUUGGAUCUUUGUAAUGAUUUGGAACUGUAAUGAUUCUUGGAUCUUUGUAAUGAAGUUUGACUUUGGUUUG